GACCUAGUAAUUUGCUUUACUGGUUAUGGAUGAUUGCGAACGGUUGCCUGUAUGGUUCUACCCUUUUGGGUAGCACAGGAUUGNCCCGUCAAUGUCUAUUUAGCUUGUUCUGUUAAUGUUAGUUGACAGUGCGGCCGAGAUGUUAGCGACUUCUAAGUGUUUCCAUGUACAUUGUCUUGGUAAUGCACUUAGAUGUUUGUUGGGUCUCACGGAUGUGGUCCCUAUUGUGAGCUCUACGGGCUUUGCGCCUGCAGAACUUGUGAGGUUGCCCCUGCAUAUAACAUUCCUCUAUUGCUUUGCUCACAUGUCGUGGUUUAAGCGCCAUGUUGUAUUGCUUCUGUUGGGGGUGUUCUUAUUUGCUUGUGGCAUGCCCCUCUUAGACUGAAUGACUUGCGAUUGUUGGUUUGCGUUAUCACAAGA
rnacentral:misc_RNA from 1 species